rnacentral:rRNA from 1 species
UACAGAGGGGGCAAGCGUUGUUCGGAAUUACUGGGCGUAAAGAGCGCGCAGGCGGUCGUUCAAGUCGAGUGUGAAAGCCCCCGGCUCAACUGGGGAGGGUCACUCGAUACUGAUCGACUGGAAGGCAGGAGAGGGUAGUGGAAUUCCCGGUGUAGUGGUGAAAUGCGUAGAUAUCGGGAGGAACACCGGUGGCGAAGGCGGCGACCUGGGUCGAUACUGACGCUGAUGCGCGAAAGCGUGGGGAGCAAACAGG